UCCUUUACUGUUGCUGCAAGAAUAAUAAAGGUGUCAAACAGAGUGAUGAUACAGACUACGAUGAUGUUGAGACUCUGAUGCAGAAGAUGACAGGAGAUACCUGGACCACCAUCACCUACCGUACAGUAGGACACCAAACACCUUCAUCUGCUCAUGACUGUUAAAGCAUAAAAAGACUUAUGAUUGACUGGACU